rnacentral:misc_RNA from 1 species
UCUCUCUCUCUCUCUCUCUCUCUCUUUAACAAAUCCAUUUCACCAACUCCCCAUCUCUUAUAUAUCAACACCUCUCCUACCAUUUCUUUUGCUUAAAACAUCUCAACCCCAUCUUUUCUUCUCUCUCUCUUUCCUCAAUAUGGCUCUUCUUCUAAUACCAAUAUCAAUCCUCCUCCUCCUCCUCUUAGCAUACAAACUCUACUUCCGCAUCCGCUUCAAACUCGCCCCCGGCCCACGCCCUUGGCCGAUCGUCGGCAACCUCUACGACGUCAAGCCAGUUAGGUUCCGAUGCUACGCCGAGUGGGCUAAGUCUUAUGGUCCGAUCAUUUCAGUUUGGCUUGGUUCAACUUUAAAUGUGAUCGUUUCGAAUACAGAAUUGGCGAAAGAAGUGCUGAAGGAACAUGAUCAACAGUUAGCUGAUCGGCAUCGGAGUAGGUCAGCUGCAAAGUUUAGCAAAGAUGGGCAGGAUCUUAUAUGGGCUGACUAUGGACCUCACUAUGUGAAGGCUAGGAAAGUGUGUACACUUGAGCUUUUUACACCUAAGAGACUCGAGGCUUUGAAACCCAUUAGGGAAGAUGAG